GGUUUUUCACAAUCAAGUGUUUCUUCCUAAAAUUCUCGAUGAACCAAAAGGAAAUGGGUUCCAGAAGAAGAUGUUGCGUUGGUUGCUUGUAUGGUCGACUUGCACAAUGUUGGAACCUUUAAUGCAGAUGCGGGAUUCAAAGCCAGUUAUUUAAAUGAGUUGGAAAAAAUGUUAGAAAAAUUUUUACCCUAUGCUAUGUUGAAGGCUAAACCUAAUCUUGAAUCGACGAUUAGGACAUUGAAAAGGGAUUGGUCAAUUGUUUAUGACAUGCUUAGUGGAAAAAAAAUAGCGGCUUUGGUUGGGAUGAGCAUAGGCAGCUUGUUGUUGCUGAAGAUGCUGUGUGGAACUCAUAUAUAAAUUCAUAAAGAAGCCGCUCAAUUCAAACAUCGGAGUUUCCCUUAUUAUGACCAACUUACUGCCAUCUACGCAAAAGAUCGAGCCAUUGGGAAAAAUGCUCAAACAGCCGCUGAUAUUAUUGAAGAAAUAGAUGUUGAGGAUGUCGCUACUACAAAUACUCAUGAAGAAAGAAACGAUUUCCAUGGAUACGAAGCUGAUGUUUCUUUGGAUGACAUGGAUCUUUCAGCUACACAACUGCAACCAGCUAGAAACCAAGGUGAUUCCACAUUUUCAAAGAAGAAAAAAAAGAUUUCUGAUGCAAGUGAUUCUUCUACUUUAUUUAAUGAUGCUGCCAUUUUAUUGGUGAAAAAUAUAUGGACCGUUGGCCUUGAAAUCAGCAAGAGUAUUGUCUCCGAAGUGCUAAUUCAACAAAAGUCAGAAAUGGCCAUUCAAGAAAGUGCUCUGAAAUUGUAUCCAACAUUAUGUGAAGUAGAAGGUUUAACUGAGGAUGAGCGCUAUCGAGCAUUGAACAAAAUUCCAGAUCAUCCAAUGCAAAUGCUCAUUUUCUUUAGUUUACCUUCUGCUGUGCGAUUGGAAUGAGUCAGAAUAUCUCUUGCUGACCAUUAAAAAUCACGGUUGUGUUGAUAAUAUUUUAGUAACUUUUUGUGUUUGUAAUAUUUGGAUGGUAUAAUGACAUGAUAGAAUGUCAUUACAAUGUUGUAACUUUUUGAUGUUGUAAAAUUUUAAAACAUAUGGAUUAUGACAUAUAAACUAAUGAAAUCAUGUAACUUUUUGUUAAUA